GGUCAAGCGAAUAAGCGCACACGGUGGAUGCCUUGGCGGUCAGAGGCGAUGAAGGACGUGGCAGCCUGCGAAAAGUAUCGGGGAGCUGGCAACAAGCUUUGAUCCGGUAAUGUCCGAAUGGGGAAACCCACCCGCUUGCGGGUAUCCUGCAGUGAAUACAUAGCUGCUGGAAGCGAACCUGGUGAACUGAAAUAUCUAAGUAACCAGAGGAAAAGAAAUCAACCGAGAUUCCGUAAGUAGCGACGAGCGAACGCGGACUAGCCCUUAAGCUGGAUUGGUUCUAGGAAAACGCUCUGGAAAGAGCGGCCAUAGAAGGUGAUAGCCCUGUAUCUGAAAGGGCCAUUCCAGUGAAGACGAGUAGGGCGGGGCACGUGAAACCCUGUCUGAACAUGGGGGGACCAUCCUCCAAGGCUAAAUACUACUGACCGACCGAUAGUGAACCAGUACCGUGAGGGAAAGGCGAAAAGAACCCCGGAGAGGGGAGUGAAAUAGAACCUGAAACCGUGUGCGUACAAGCAGUAGGAGCUCCGCAAGGAGUGACUGCGUACCUUUUGUAUAAUGGGUCAGCGACUUACUGUUCGUGGCAAGCUUAACCGUAUAGGGGAGGCGAAGGGAAACCGAGUCUGAUAAGGGCGCAUAGUCGCGGGCAGUAGACCCGAAACCGGGUGAUCUAGUCAUGCCCAGGGUGAAGGUGCGGUAACACGCACUGGAGGCCCGAACCCACUCCCGUUGCAAAGGUAGGGGAUGAGGUGUGAUUAGGAGUGAAAAGCUAAUCGAACCCGGAGAUAGCUGGUUCUCCUCGAAAGCUAUUUAGGUAGCGCCUCAUAUGUAUCCUCUCGGGGGUAGAGCACUGUUAUGGCUAGGGGGUCAUCGCGACUUACCAAACCAUUGCAAACUCCGAAUACCGAGACGGACUGUAUGGGAGACACACGGCGGGUGCUAACGUCCGUCGUGAAAAGGGAAACAACCCAGACCCACAGCUAAGGUCCCAAAUUCACUGCUAAGUGGAAAACCAUGUGGAAAGGCACAGACAGCCAGGAGGUUGGCUUAGAAGCAGCCACCCUUUAAAGAAAGCGUAAUAGCUCACUGGUCGAGUCGGUCUGCGGGGAAGAUUUAACGGGGCUAAGCAGUGAACCGAAGCUUGGGGUGCAUAACUUUGUUAUGCGCGGUAGAGGAGCGUUCCGUAAGCCGUUGAAGGUGGAUUGAGAAGUCUGCUGGAGGUAUCGGAAGUGCGAAUGCUGACAUGAGUAACGAUAAUGCGGGUGAAAAACCCGCACGCCGAAAGCCCAAGGUUUCCUUGCGCAACGUUAAUCGGCGCAGGGUGAGUCGGCCCCUAAGGCGAGGACGAAAGUCGUAGUCGAUGGGAAGCAGGUUAAUAUUCCUGCACCUCGCGUAAGUGCGAUGGAGGGACGGAGAAGGUUAGGUGUACCAGGCGUUGGUUGUCCUGGGGAAAGGCGGUAGGUUUGGAUCUUUGGCAAAUCCGGGAUCCUUUAAGACCGAGCACCGAGACGAGCCUUUAAGGCGAAGUCACUGAUACCACGCUUCCAGGAAAAGCUCCUAAGCUUCAGCUUACGCAGACCGUACCGUAAACCGACACAGGUGGGUAGGAUGAGAAUUCUCAGGCGCUUGAGAGAACUCGGGUGAAGGAACUAGGCAACAUGGCACCGUAACUUCGGGAGAAGGUGCACCCUUUUUGGUGGCUCGUGCGAGCUAUAGCUGAAGAGGGUCGCAGUAACCAGGCCGCUGCGACUGUUUAUCAAAAACACAGCACUCUGCAAACACGAAAGUGGACGUAUAGGGUGUGACGCCUGCCCGGUGCUGGAAGGUUAAUUGAUGGGGUCAGCCGCAAGGCGAAGCUCUUGAUCGAAGCCCCAGUAAACGGCGGCCGUAACUAUAACGGUCCUAAGGUAGCGAAAUUCCUUGUCGGGUAAGUUCCGACCUGCACGAAUGGCGUAACGACAGCGGCGCUGUCUCCACCCGAGACUCAGUGAAAUUGAAAUCGCUGUGAAGAUGCAGCGUUCCCGUGGCAAGACGGAAAGACCCCGUGAACCUUUACUAUAGCUUUACACUGAACGUUGAGUUCGUCUGUGUAGGAUAGGUGGGAGGCUAUGAAACUGUGGCGCUAGCUGCAGCGGAGCCAUCCUUGAAAUACCACCCUGUCGUGCUUGACGUUCUAACCUGGGCCCAUUAUCUGGGUCGGGGACCGUGUAUGGUGGGUAGUUUGACUGGGGCGGUCUCCUCCUAAAGAGUAACGGAGGAGCUCGAAGGUACGCUCAGCGCGGUCGGACAUCGCGCACUGUGUGCAAAGGCAUAAGCGUGCUUGACUGCAAGAUCGACGGAUCAAGCAGGUAGGAAACUAGGACUUAGUGAUCCGGUGGUUCUGUAUGGAAGGGCCAUCGCUCAACGGAUAAAAGGUACUCCGGGGAUAACAGGCUGAUACCGCCCAAGAGUUCAUAUCGACGGCGGUGUUUGGCACCUCGAUGUCGGCUCAUCACAUCCUGGGGCUGUAGUCGGUCCCAAGGGUAUGGCUGUUCGCCAUUUAAAGUGGUACGCGAGCUGGGUUCAGAACGUCGUGAGACAGUUCGGUCCCUAUCUGCCAUGGGCGUUGGAGAUUUGAGAGGGGCUGCUCCUAGUACGAGAGGACCGGAGUGGACGAACCUCUGGUGUUCCGGUUGUCACGCCAGUGGCAUUGCCGGGUAGCUAUGUUCGGAAGCGAUAACCGCUGAAAGCAUCUAAGCGGGAAGCGCGCCUCAAGAUGAGAUCUCCCGGGGCACAAGCCCCCUGAAGGAACCAUGUAGACUACGUGGUUGAUAGGUCAGGUGUGUAAGUACAGCAAUGUAUUGAGCUAACUGAUACUAAUGAUCCGAGAGGCUUGACCAU
rnacentral:rRNA from 1 species